GGCUUGGUAGCGGGGUGAUCCCGCAUCUGCUUUCUAUUAGACAUCCUUGUAGAAAUGAGCAGAAGGAAACCCGUGCGAUUCGGGUCUGAGCCA